UACGAAGGGGGCUAGCGUUGCUCGGAAUUACUGGGCGUAAAGGGCGCGUAGGCGGCUCUGUGAGUCAGGCGUGAAAUUCCUGGGCUUAACCUGGGGACUGCGCUUGAUACUGCGGGGCUUGAGGCCGAGAGAGGGUGGUGGAAUUCCCAGUGUAGAGGUGAAAUUCGUAGAUAUUGGGAAGAACACCGGUGGCGAAGGCGACCACCUGGCUCGGUACUGACGCUGAGGCGCGACAGCGUGGGGAGCGAACAGG
rnacentral:rRNA from 1 species